GUGAACGCUGGCGGCGUGCUUAACACAUGCAAGUCGAACGGAUGAAAUAAGCUUGCUUAUUUCGUUAGUGGCGCACGGGUGAGUAAUGUAUAGCUAACCUGCCCUUUAGUGGGGGACAACAGUUGGAAACGACUGCUAAUACCCCAUACUCCUUCUUAUCUUAAGAUAAGUUGGGAAAGAUUUAUUGCUAAAGGAUGGGGCUUUAUGGUAUCAGCUAGUUGGUGGGGUAACGGCCUACCAAGGCGAUGACGCCUACCUGGUCUGAGAGGAUGAUCAGGCACACUGGAACUGAGACACGGUCCAGACUCCUACGGGAGGCAGCAGUGGGGAAUAUUGCACAAUGGAGGAAACUCUGAUGCAGCAACGCCGCGUGGAGGAUGACGCAUUUCGGUGUGUAAACUCCUUUUAUAAGGGAAGAUAAUGACGGUACCUUAUGAAUAAGCACCGGCUAACUCCGU
rnacentral:rRNA from 1 species